rnacentral:rRNA from 1 species
UACGGGGGGGGCAAGCGUUGUUCGGAAUUACUGGGCGUAAAGGGCUCGUAGGUGGCCAACUAAGUCAUACGUGAAAUCCCUCGGCUUAACCGGGGAACUGCGUCUGAUACUGGAUGGCUUGAGGUUGGGAGAGGGAUGCGGAAUUCCAGGUGUAGCGGUGAAAUGCGUAGAUAUCUGGAGGAACACCAAUGGCGAAGGCAGCUGCGCUGGGACGU